UUUCUGCCUCAAAUCGCGCUAUAAUGUGGUAGAGCCAUCUUAAAUGGAAACUGCUUUGGUUGCUCGCCUCUCACACCAAACUAACAUGCGCCCAUUUUAAUCUGAUUAAUGCUUUUGAGAUGUCCUUCUAAUUGACUUGGACGUAGCUGGGGGGGACUUCAGGCAUACAGCGAGAGCCUUUCAGCAAAGAGGAAGUAGAAAAAAGAAGAAAGAAAAAAACACACACACA